UAAACAUUAUUCUGUGUUACCUCCCAAGAAGAGGGGUAUUCCCCACGUGGCUCUGCUGUUAAAGAUAGGAUGAGGUCUCUGGGAAGGAGAUGACCUCCUGAGGGCCACGCAUGUGAAGAAAGAGGAAGUGGCGGAGGAGCAAGAAGGAGAAGAUAUGGCUAUCAGUUCAGGAAGUGCUCUCCGGUCUAUUCCCACGAGGUAGAUGCUGUGAUGGUCUUCCCAUCAGCCGUGCUGGGAAAGAACUGAUUUGGAAAUGCUUAAAAUACAGUACAUUUGAUGUAGAGGUAAGAGGUAAGAAUUUUGUUACAUUUAAAAUCUGCAUCAUAGAUUCCUUG
rnacentral:lncRNA from 1 species